AGAGAAAAUAGAGAGAAAGGAAGGAAGAGAGAAAUUAAACGAGUGAGCGAUACAAAUACGCAGGUUUACAAAUCGGAGACAAAUUGCAUGUUCAAAACAAAACAUCCUGCCGGGCUGUAUCACCGCCUGUUACGGCAACUGCACCACACACAAUCGCAAGGCCCUCCAGAGGGUGGUGGGGUCUGCACAACGCAUAACCAGUGGCAAACUACCUGCCCUCCAGGACACCUACAACACCCGAUGUCACAGGAAGGCAAAAAAGAUCAAGGACAAUAACCACCCAAGCCACUGACUUUCACCCCGCUCCCAUCCAGAAGGCGAGGUCAGUACAGAUGCAUCAAAGCUGGAACCGAGAGACUGAAAAACAGCCAUCGCAAGGCCAUCAGAUUGUUAAACAGCCACCACUAGCACAGAGAGGCGGCUGCCUACCUACAGACUUGAUAUCACUGGCCACUUUAAUAAAUGGAACACUUGUCACUUUAAUAAUGCCACUUUAAGAAUGUUUACAUAUCUCGCAUUACUCAUCUCAUAUGUACAGUAUAUAAUGUAUACUGUAUCAUUCACUAUCUAUUGCAUCUUAGCCGAUCUGUCACUGCUCAUCCAUAUAUGUUAUACUUAAAUAUUAUUAUCCCUUUACUAGAUUGUGUGUAUUAGGUUUUGUUGUGGAAUUGUUAGAUAUUGCCUGUGAUAGACUGCUGCACUGUCGGAUCUAGAAGCAUAAGAAUUUCGUUACACUCGCAACAACAUCUGCUAGCCAUAUGUACUGUAUGUGACCAAUAAAAUUUGAUUGGACAUA